GAGGUGCCUGAUUUGAGUGCAGCCUCAUGUAGGCAGGACAUCGAAUCAGGAAAUUCCA
rnacentral:pre_miRNA from 1 species